GCUUCAAGAUUGUGGAGGCGCACUACUCGAUGACGGGCGUGGCGGUCCUCCGCAUCAUGUUUUUGCUGCAAGGUUGCAGGGAGUCCAUGCUCGUCGUUGUUCGCCAGGUGACGCCGCAGCCGCAGGUCGAGCUUGACCACCACGGUGGCGAACUGCAAAAGGCAUUUGGAUCCUUCCACUGCAGUUAUUGGGUUCUUUGUACGCUUUGAAGAUGAUAGUGUCGAUUCAGCAAAAGUGGUCAAACAGUGGAAUGUCAAAAUCAUAUCUAUAAGCAAGAAUAAAAGGCAUCAAGACAGACCGGCUGCUCUGGAGGUGUGGGAUCGGCUGGAUGAAUUUGUGCGGGCCGUACGUGUCUCUCUGGCUUAAUGACGCGGUGCUGCUGCUGCUACAAGGCGCUACCAAAAUUUUAAAUUAAGAAUUUGUUGGUGGUGAUUCAUUUUAAUUUUAUUGGCACGUUGCAUCUUUCUACAAGCUAAUGUUUGGUAUGACAAAACUACAGGGAACGGCACAUCCUCAUAUUACAAAGAUAGAAUCUAUAAGUUGUUUAUACAGAAUUAUAGAUAUAAUAGUAGAAGUCGUCAGUGACAACUUCCUGCUGCACCUGCUUCUUACCACGGGCACAUGCAUGCAAAGGUUCUGUCAAAAGCCAUCUACGCAUGUGUUUUUCCACUCCAUAUCACCGAAAAGCAACGGUAUCUUUCUGGUGCCACCACCAACAGGUAUUGUUAGUUCUGUUGCCUCCAAUCUUAGUAGUAGUCGUCUCUCUGCAUCUCAGUCAAAUUGUACACUUUCAACUUUCUCAAGCAUUCGGCCAAAGUGGAGAUCAAUAUAUCAACUAGCAUAAUUGCUUGCUUUCAUACAGCAAGGUAUGAACAUAGCUAUGCAUUUUGCUGGUCUCCUUGGAAAUUUCUUAUUUAUCUUUCCUAAGGUGUUGAUUAGAUUUUUUUUUUGUCUGAAAAAUCAUAAAGGAAAGAAACAAAUAAAUCUCUACAAGUUGUUGUCGCUCAUACUUGUGAACUAUUUUUAGCAGUAGUAUAAAAAUAUCAUUUGUUAUCACUAAUGGGAUAAGUAGAAUUUGGUUAUCUAAUAGGAGUUAUAUUUAUUUUUAUUUAUCUUUCCUAAGGUGUUGAUUUGAUUAAAAAUCUGAUUCAUCAUAAAGGAAAGACUCUGGGUUGUUAUCGCUCAUUUUGUGAACUAUUUUAGCGGUAGUCUAAAAAUACCAUCUGUGGUCACUAAUGAGAUCAAGGGAAUUUGGUUAUCUAAUAGUUGUAUUUAUUUUAUUCCAAACUCGCACGCUAGAAUUAGUAGCUUCAUUUGUUUCCGUUUGUGCACCUGCCAGCAAUAAUAUUUUUUAAGCAAUAUUAAAGAGCUGGUCCAUUGCUGAAAACUAAUUUCAUUUUCUCACCGUGUAUGCAAUUUUGCACUAUUUAUUUAAUGAAAACUUCAAUCCUGUCUUGCAUCAAUCUUCAUCUUGCAAAAUUAAAUCACCUCUCCAAUAUCUGCCUCUAACAAAUACUCAUGUUUAUCAAAUCAUCUUUAGUAUUCAUGUAUAUGAGAACCAUCUUCAGUGCUAUAUGGCAAUAUGACUAAUCUUCAAAGUACAUAUACUGCAAAUCCCGUCUUUUUUAGUGCGUGUACUUAACUGCAAUGCCAAUUUGUUGUGAACAUCCCAAAAUAGACAGUGUUACAUUAGUAAAGAAAAACAACUUUCUUAUGGUUACUGAAACCAAUCCGUUUAAUAUUUAGAAGCUCACGCAACAUGUCCCGCAGCAAUGCGCGGGGUAUCCAUCUAGUAUAUACAUGGAUGUGCGUACAUGGCCAGGACUUAUGUACGUGUCCGACCUGCCCUCUUUUACUUUUUCUUAGCAUGAGGUCUGGACAACUGCUUAUGUGUGUACGUGAUCAUGACUCUUUUUGACGGGCUAUUUCUAAUUCUUUCUAUUUUUUUAAGGGAAUAUUUCUAAUUCUUUAUAUGCCCCAUUUUGUAGAUUUGCUUCAGAUCACGGAAGCUUGGGUUGAUGGAGUGCUUGUCUUUAGUUUUUGUUUUGACUUUGUGAAACUUGCUACCUAUGAUGAAACUGUGUAAUAUUGAUGAAACUAUGUAUAUGUAUGGAUGAA